CCAACAUACACUUGACCAAAGCCACCCUUACCCAACUUUCUUUCCAAUUUGUAAACUGGGGACCCCCCAACCUGAACCUUCUCAGGAAGUGGAGCAGUGCUGCUCCCCUCAUCUUCCCCAGCAUUGGCUUUUUCAUUACUUUCCCCGCCACCAUCGUAGUCAUCCAUAGGCUUCUCUCCUACUUCCUCCUUUUCCGCCCCUCCACCAAUAACGCCAACACCAGCAACUCCCACUC
rnacentral:misc_RNA from 1 species